ACGCUGGCGGCGUGCCUAAUACAUGCAAGUCGAACGAGAGCGACCGGUGCUUGCACUGGUCAAUCUAGUGGCGAACGGGUGAGUAACACGUGGGUAACCUGCCCAUCAGAAGGGGAUAACAUUCGGAAACGGAUGCUAAAACCGCAUAGGUCUUCGAACCGCAUGGUUUGAAGAGGAAAAGAGGCGCAAGCUUCUGCUGAUGGAUGGAUCCGCGGUGCAUUAGCUAGUUGGUGAGGUAACGGCUCACCAAGGCCGUGAUGCAUAGCCGACCUGAGAGGGUGAUCGGCCACAUUGGGACUGAGACACGGCCCAAACUCCUACGGGAGGCAGCAGUAGGGAAUCUUCCGCAAUGGACGCAAGUCUGACGGAGCAACGCCGCGUGAGUGAAGAAGGUUUUCGGAUCGUAAAACACUGUUGUUAGAGAAGAACAAGUGCUAGAGUAACUGUUAGCGCCUUGACGGUAUCUAACCAGAAAGCCACGGCUAACUACGUGCCAGCAGCCGCGGUAAUACGUAGGUGGCAAGCGUUGUCCGGAUUUAUUGGGCGUAAAGCGAGCGCAGGCGGUUCCUUAAGUCUGAUGUGAAAGCCCCCGGCUCAACCGGGGAGGGUCAUUGGAAACUGGGGAACUUGAGUGCAGAAGAGGAGAGUGGAAUUCCAUGUGUAGCGGUGAAAUGCGUAGAUAUAUGGAGGAACACCAGUGGCGAAGGCGACUCUCUGGUCUGUAACUGACGCUGAGGCUCGAAAGCGUGGGUAGCAAACAGGAUUAGAUACCCUGGUAGUCCACGCCGUAAACGAUGAGUGCUAAGUGUUGGAGGGUUUCCGCCCUUCAGUGCUGCAGUUAACGCAUUAAGCACUCCGCCUGGGGAGUACGACCGCAAGGUUGAAACUCAAAGGAAUUGACGGGGACCCGCACAAGCGGUGGAGCAUGUGGUUU
rnacentral:rRNA from 1 species